rnacentral:rRNA from 1 species
UACGUAUGGUGCGAACGUUGUUCGGAAUCACUGGGCAUAAAGAGCACGUAGGCGGUUAAGCAAGUCCAUUGUGAAAUCCCCCGGCCUAACCGGGGAACUGCAUUGGAUACUACUUGACUUGAGUACUGGAGAGGAGGCUGGAAUUUACGGUGUAGCAGUGAAAUGCGUAGAUAUCGUAAGGAAGGCCGGUGGCGAAAGCGAGCCUCUGGACAGUUACUGACGCUGAUGCACGAAGGCCAGGGGAGCAAACGGG